CUGUGAAGCUGAGAGAGAGAGAGGGGGGGAGAGAAAACCAGAGCGCACAAGAGAGAGCAUCUUUCUUUCUUUCUCUCUCUCUCUCCCUCCCCUCCUCCUCUUCUUCUUCUUUCC